UUGGUUGCUUGGGCAACAGGGCAAGUUUUCCUCUGCACAGGUUUUGAUAAAUCUCCCUCAGUGUCCUAAAAAAGUUCAAUGGAGUCUUCCUCACCUGGUGUCCAAAGGAGCAGCUAACUGUGGCACAGUUAUCGGAAGAAGGAUAAGGCCAGCGUGGAAAAUGCAAAAAGAUCCCUUUAUUGGAUAAAAUCAAAAUCACAGGACAAGGCAACCAGAAAUGACGCGUUUCAGGCGUGAACCGCCCUUAGUCAUAUAAUAGAACCAUAAAGUAACAUCCUAUAUGUAGGGCAAGUGAGCCUAUAUCUAUUGCUGUCGCCGCACAUCGGCCGUGCUGUGGACGGGACAUUGGUUUGAUCAUCCAGAUCACCAAUGCAAUAUUACUAUGUAAAGGCGAUGAACCUUCUAUUGUCCACUGUGUAUUUAAAAAUUAAGAAAUUCCUAAGAAUAUUUAUCCUACAAGUGUAGUAUCUGGGUUAAACAUUGCCUGUGGACUUCACCCAUAUGUGCAACCAUUGGAUCACACUCUUGUCAGCACCACUGAGAUGCAUUUUUAAAAUCUAUUCACAUGUACAGUAUCCUGCGUAUAUUUGAAGCUGCAGAUUUGAAACUGUUUUCAGUCAUUUAGUUUAUAUUACAAUCUGCAGCAUUAAACCCUGUGCAUCAAAUU